UUGAGGGAUCAGGUUUGGGUUUUUUUUGACCCAAUGUCCUUCAAACAUAGUUUGGGAAGAGAGUGUGUUUUUUUUUUAAACCUGGAAGGAGAAAAAUAAUAGCUAAGCAACCUGCAUUAAAAAUAUUUACUUAAAAACACAAUGUCAGGAUAAGGAAAAAGCAUUUGCUGUGCGCUUGUCAGUCCUGAAGCCCCAGUAGCUGAAGUUAACACAGUGGGACAGAGCCCCUAACUGUCAGUUACAUCUGACAGUUCUGAUCACUUCCACCAGCUUGGCACUUAGAGCAAGCCAUGACUGUUCUCUUUUUCUCUAAGCAACCGCCGUAAUGAGUUGUAACUGUAAACACUUACUGUGAUGGCCUGGAGUCUCUCCUUCACCAGUUCAGUCUCUUCCAUUCUAGAGAUCGAGGUUGGGGAAACCGUAAAGGGAAUGAAUGUGAAGCUACCAUAAACAAGAGAAAAAGGAAAAAUCCUGAGUUGUCAGGAGCGUCUCUGAACAGAUGAACAGAGCAGGCCAGACAGACACAUGGAAUGAGAGUGUGCUGGGGCGGCAGACACACGGGCUGCUGGCACGAGCUGACUGACAAGUUUAAACGGCAGAACACAAGCCCUUUUCCUUCAGGGAGCUGCCAGCCCUUUGUUGUAAUGUGCACAAUGCUUGGUAUAAACUUUGGUCUAAGUCACAGAAAAGUCAGAGGCAUCAAUGGGACACUGUUCUGGAGCUGGCUUCUCAUGAAUGUUCGGUGUGGGUUGAACCUUCAGGACCAAUGCCUACGAUUUCUUAGAUUUUAUAGAGUGUAG
rnacentral:lncRNA from 1 species